GGUCCUUCUUUUAUGAUGGUAAUGCAUCUUUUGGCUUUCUUGCUUUUCUGGUCAGUUUAUGCCGUUUUGUAUAAAGUUUGUCGACACGUGUUAUUUUGAUUUUGCUUCGCUGUUUUGUCGCCCAAUCAGGUUUUGAUUUCUGUUUCUGAACUUUUCUCAACCGCCUCAUCUGUUGCUUUCAAAUGUUACGACCUACUCCAGAAAUAGAGAAUAGAGAAGAGAUCGUUUCGUAUUACAAGACAAACCUUCUUCUUCGUUUUCGACCACACCUCUCUGCUGUGACACCGCCUUUGUCGGUGAGUUGCAGGAUCCAUCGAUGACCUAUCCGCCUACACCGCCUAUUUCACCCUUUGCUCCCCCACCCACUGUCUCCAUUUACAUCUCCUUCACCGAUUCCAGUCAAUAUCGGUAAGUGGGAGAAGAAGACGCCUCCACCACUUUCCGGUAUUCUUCAGCCGUUUGUUCCUGAUCCUUCCAUUUUAUGCGUUCUUAAUUCAAUUGAGUCGGAGCAAACCAACAAAACCUUCAGCCCAUUUACCAUCGGUGUCACCAUCUUCUCUAUCAUCGACAACUGUGUUUAUGCAUCUUCACUUUUUCGAUUAGGGCUUCCGCCCCUAUCACCGCUAUCGAUUGGUGGAGAUGACAUCGUUCGACAUCGUCACACCCCUGCGACUACUCCUUCUCCACCUCCUUCAUGGGUAGUGGAAUCGAGGUUAUGGUUGGCGUCUCAAAUGAUCUUUUGGCCACCCUCAGCUCCUCCACGAUCGCCGCUGGUUUGUGGGUUUCCCAGAAUGUCUACAAAUACAUGAUUUGAGGCGGAGCCACCAACAAGUAUUAUCUGUUAUCCCGUCCCCGUCUCUCUGUAUAUAUUAUCCAGUAUAUUCAAUAUAUCUUUAGCUUAAAUCCGAGUUGUGGUUCCUGUUGGGUUGUUGUUUCUUUUUCUUUUCUUCUCCCAUACAACCAUCUUUAUAUUUACUUUGUUUGUAGAAAGGAUUGUGCCAAGAAUCAAGUGAGGCCAAAGACAUACCACAGAGGCCAAGGGGAUAAAGGUAUAUGAGCUCUUUUCCACUAUUAUUGUUAUAAUUAUUAUACACGCAUGUACAUCUGGACUGAUGGUUCUUUAUUUGGUUAUUAGUGCUUCUUCUUUUGUGAGAUGUGAGGUGUUAGGUGUGACAGUUGAUAGAUAAAUGUUUGGUUGUUUUGUUAUGUUAGUUCAAUUUACCAACAUCAGGUCUUUUGUUUUC